GUUCAGGGGUAAACUGCGGGACUCGRACGAUCGAACGGGGAGAUUCAUUCAGCGUGUCUUAGGGGGUCCGCGUCGGACUGUCAGUCGAUYGCGGCGGGCGUUUCGGCGUUCCGUUCAACGCGGUCGGCUCGGUCCGUUCGCGCAUCCGGCCCCCGAAGUGCGUGCACUUCUCCCUYAGUACAACACCGCGACCCGUUGGCGUUGCGGCGGUCUACCGCGUCCGGCAGAGAGUCCCGGAGCUCGGCUUCGGUCKGGCUCCGGAAUCUGCUCGGCGUCGCGACCGCCGCCCGACGGUAGAGAACGAGGAUCGGGUUCGGCGCAUCGCGCGUCCGAAUCGAGGUACGGCGUCCUGCGUUCCGGGCUCCGGCGUUUCGGCGUCGCAGUCCCGGGCGUGUGGCCCCCCGGGCAAAGGGGCGUCGUGGCUUCGAUCUCCGAACAGGACCCGUCCCGGUCGGCGGUGGUUACGUUUCGGGAACUCACAGGACCCGUCUUGAAACACGGACCAAGGAGUCUAGCAUGCGCGCGAGUCAUAGGGAAUUAAUAAACCCCUGAGGCGCAAUGAAAGUGAAAGGCCUCACGGCCRARGGGACGAUGGCRAACGGCUCGCCGUUCYGSCCCGCAGUCCCGGGGCGUUCGGAGAAA
rnacentral:rRNA from 1 species